GAAUUCUGCCAAAGAUGUGUGCUUGGAUGUGAGGUAUUUUUCUUCUUUUUCAUCCCUUUUGCUAAUUUAAUUCCCAGAUCUAAACCACAUUUUUCCAUCCUGGACUUCCACAAGCUGGGAUGCCUUGUUUGCGGUUGGGAAGCUUUGCUGUGCCCUCUGUGGAGUGCUGAGGUGUCAGGGGGGUCACCUGCCUGCAGUAAGUGACCGAGCAAAGGGGAGGCCUCGGGGUCAGGCAUGGGGCUGGUUUAUUGCCAGAGUCAAAGUUUUGGGAUGCGCUAGCGAGCAAAUCAUUACAGUGUUCCUGCCCUUCUUUCUCUCAUUAAGAGGAUAAAACCCAACCAAUUAUUGGAAUAUGCACAAAUAUGCCACUGAUGAGGGCCCUGAGCAACCAGGCAGAUUUUUCGAGCAGCCUUGAAGCAGCAAGACACAGCAGCCACAUGCUGGGCUCUCCCUUAUUUUUAUUCUUUUCUGUUUUCUUGGUUGUAGAAUAAGAGCUAAUCAAAGUGAUGCACUCCAGCAGGCUUUUGUGUAUGGCAUUACAGCAAAAUCCUAAAUUCUCUUUCCUGCUCAUGCAUACAAAGCAGGAAGAACUAGGAUGGCUGCAGACUAUUUUCAGAUGAUUCAGCCAAGGAGAAAAUAACUGGGUGGCUGGAAGAAGGAGCUUUGGAUAGGAAAUAGCCUUGAAGUGCAGCUCUCUGACAUGACGGCGUGCGAGGUGCCCAGCUCCCUGAGACAGCCCUGCUCUGUGAAAUGGAACAUGACUUCCAGAGGAGAUGACAAAGGACAAUACAGACACCAGAGCACCCAAAACCCCGUGCAAGAGAGACUGCAGAGUGAGCUGGGUGCUCCCUGCUGCUCCUGAGCAAGAAGUGGUUUCAGCAUCAACAUACAUGAAGUUCCCCCUGCUCGGUUCAGGACUCCUACCAAGUGCUGAGACAACAAGUUGAGUAUUUGGCUGGUAAAUCAGUGCAGCUCAACUGACUGGGUUCAUGGGAGGCUGUUUGUACCUGUAGAUGUGUUGUUUCUUCCUCCACUAAAGGCAAAAGCAUCACCUGGGACUUGCCCCUCACACCUGGAGCAAGUUGGAUGCUCCCUCCCCACAAGGCAGGAGCGUGGGCAUCAGUGAUACCUGAGCGAAAACUCUCACCUCCCUGUGCUUCACUUCACAGCACCUGGUCUGCAGCCCUCUCUCUCCCCCCCCUCAUUUCAAAGGGCCACGCAGUUCUCUCCCCCUUGUCUGUGACAACACUGGGGACAAAGCCCCAAAGAUGGUCCCACCGGGCAGGCUGGGGCUGACGUGGGACAUGGCGUUGCUCUUCGUGUUUGUUCGUGUCUCUUGAACAGCUCAGCACUGAUCAAAUCCCCUGAUUUGGAUUUAUUCUGUGCAAUUCAAAGCAAGAUUUGCUGGACCCCGCGGUGCCCAUGUGCCCGGGGAGGGUUGGGGUGUGGGUGCGGGCACUGCCAGGUCAGGGGAGGUCCUGACUGAGGAUGAAGGUGAAGGCAUCUUCGAAGGCUUUGGGCAAGGAGGACGGUUUCGAUGAGGCUGCAUCCCCCUCUGCUGGAAAAUCCAAGCAAAGGCAGCAGAGCACCCGCUGGCCGGGGAGAAAAAGCGGGAAUAAAUGUGCAAAGAACACAAGUGAGGCCCGAGGGUCCCCGGGGCCCAGAAGGGACAUCGCGGCAGCCAGCCUGGGGUGUACUGGGGGUUCAUCUGCUGCUGGCCGUGCUGAGAGGGCUCUUGCUGGGGACAGCCAGACCCCGAGCAGAAACUGGGACCAUGUCGCAUUUGUGCCAGGCACAAUCCCACUCCCCAUCACGGGAAUGGGCGAGUGGGGCAGGGGCAGCACCUGACAGUGUGGUCAGGCAGGUCCUGACGAUGUGGCAGGGUCUCACAGCUGGCAGAGAAUCGUGACUGUUACUAAACAGAAUUGCACAGACAAAGGCAGUGCUUUGACACUGGGUUCAGAGAGGCUUUGUAGCCCAGGUGGUGCCCAGGGGCCAUAGCUGACGGGCAUGAGGUGCAAAACACACUGGGGAGACUGAAAUACUUAUGGCAACCAUGGGCAGUGGCAUUUGCCAGGAAGGGGCUGCAGUGCUGUCUGGUUCUUGCCAAACAGCUCGUAGGGAGCUCUACUUCAAACCAGAGGCUGGAGAAAAUGCCUCUCCUCACCCCUCACCUGCUCCCUGGGUGGGUGGCUCAUGGUUCAGUCUAACCAAGGACUCCUGAGAAGUCCCUGCUCUGGAUUCCCCUGUGGUGCUGCUUUCUCUGGUCCUACAGGUGCCUGCACACAGCCCCGGGCUCUGUGCUCGUCUUUCAGAGCCUCACUUGGAGGCCGUUUGUGCUUAGACUGGAAGAAUGGGUUUGUUUCCUUUUGGAUUUAAAAUCUAAAUUACAGCAGGGGUGAAAUGCGGUGACUGGGCUGGCGAAGGCCCCGACUGUGCAAUAAAUCUGCAAGCAUGGGCCUGGCUUUUGCGCAGGGGGCUCUGCAAGUGCCAAGGUCGCUGCUAAUAAAUCUGACUGGAGGACCAGGAGGAAAUUUUUUUAAACUUACUGCAAACAGCAGGCUCCUUUUUAACCAUCUUUUUUUUUUCCUUGCUCCCUUCUGCUGAUUCAUGCUCCUGCUGCUUCGCCACUGGGAGACGCCAGCAUUCCUGAAGGUCAUCACUUGCAUGCAGCAGCUCACGCUGCGGAGUGUCUGCCAGCAUCUAGGAAAUCGAAAUGCUAAAGUGCCUGCGAUCAUUUAUAUUUUCCCUGGCAGUGACAGACAAUCCACAGCUUGCCAACUGAGGAGCUGCCACGUUUCCAGGCUGCUACACUGCUCGAAGGAGAGCAAUGAAGAAGACACGGUGAAAUCCUUCCUUUGCUUCUUCAGGUUAUUUAGUGAGUAUUAAACUGUGGCAGUACCAAAAAUCCUGAGUAAAAUGACGUGAAGACACUGUGUUACAGGCUGUGACGAUUUCCUUCUGGCAGCGAUGGAGAAGGAGAAGCCUUUGCAAUUGUCCCAUAAACAGCAUGGAACCUCGGGAGGGGUGUGCGCACUGUGCUUGGCUUCCCCAAAUUCAUCAGCUGCAGGUGCUGCUGCUCUCCCUCCAUCCUGGAGUAGAAAGGCGUCUGCCAGCUGCAUACAUAAUAUCUUUAAAAUUUAUA